GAGCCAGUAGCUCAGCCGGCAGAGCACCGCCCUUUUAAGGCGGGAGUCAUGGGUUCGAUUCCCAUCUGGCUCACCA
rnacentral:tRNA from 7 species